GCGUAAAGCGCGCGUAGGCGGCGUGAUAAGCCGGUUGUGAAAGCCCCGGGCUCAACCUGGGAACGGCAUCCGGAACUGUCGCGCUAGAGUGCAGGAGAGGAAGGUAGAAUUCCCGGUGUAGCGGUGAAAUGCGUAGAGAUCGGGAGGAAUACCAGUGGCGAAGGCGGCCUUCUGGACUGACACUGACGCUGAGGUGCGAAAGCGUGGGUAGCAAACAGGAUUAGAUACCCUGGUAGUCCACGCCGUAAACGAUGUCGACUAGCCGUUGGGAGCCUUGAGUUCUUAGUGGCGCAGUUAACGCGAUAAGUCGACCGCCUGGGGAGUACGGCCGCAAGGUUAAAACUCAAAUGAAUUGACGGGGGCCCGCACAAGCGGUGGAGCAUGUGGUUUAAUUCGAUGCAACGCGAAGAACCUUACCUACCCUUGACAUCCUCGGAAUCCGCCAGAGAUGGUGGAGUGCCUUCGGGAGCCGAGUGACAGGUGCUGCAUGGCUGUCGUCAGCUCGUGUUGUGAAAUGUUGGGUUAAGUCCCGUAACGAGCGCAACCCUUGUCCCUAUUUGCCAGCGAUUCGGUCGGGAACUCUAGGGAGACUGCCGGUGACAAACCGGAGGAAGGUGGGGACGACGUCAAGUCAUCAUGGCCCUUACGGGUAGGGCUACACACGUGCUACAAUGGCAGGUACAAAGGGUCGCAAGACGGCGACGUGGAGCUAAUCCCAGAAAGCCUGCCUCAGUCCGGAUCGGAGUCUGCAACUCGACUCCGUGAAGUCGGAAUCGCUAGUAA
rnacentral:rRNA from 1 species